AUUACAAAAUAAUAGAGAUACAAUUAUUUUUCUUUCUUUUCCUCUCCAUCUCUCUGUCUCUCUCUCUCGAUCGAAGUCGAAGUCGAAUUGGCAAUGGAAGAAGAUGGAAUCAAAGGACAUGGAAUCAGAGGACAAUUAUGUCGGAGGAGAUGCGACGGAGAUUGAAUCGGCGGAGGCUAAUCGGAGGGCUCUUGAAUCGAGUCCGAGAUUGUAUCGGAGGAGAUUUGAUUUCGAGUCGAUUCAAUCAGAAGAGAUUGAAUCAAUUGGAAUAGGAGAUUAAACAUAUCUCAUGGGUGAAUUCUCAUGUUAAGGACCAGCGUGAUUGGGAUAUCGUUCGUGACCUUGUGAGUUGUCGAAAGAACGAGUUUUAUCUGAGAGGUCUCACUGGUUGUUGCAGAGUCGACCGUUAUGCUCUGACAGGUUCAGAGACUCGAAUUGGAGAAACACAUUGGCUCGUCAUUUGGAAACUUCCGCUGAGGCAAUAGAUGAUGAGGGAGGCAGUAGUUGCUGCAAUCUUUCUGGUGAAGUGUCUACUUCUUGUACCGGUAACAAAGAAGAAAAAUGUGUGAGGUGAUACUGAUGCAUGUGUGAUACUGAUGACGGUGAUGAAGAAUGUGUGAGACCAGAUGCUUGUACUCAUGGACCCGUACUAAACCAAUUAUUAUACCUAAUGAGAACCGCCGAGAAGACUAUAAAAAUACGAAUUGCUCUGGCUCUUGCACAUCUUUGUGACCCUAAAGAUGGAAAACUGAUUUUGCAACAGGGGACUCAGCUCCUGCUUCACCCGCCCAACAGGUAUUUUUAGGUGAAAAGUUCGUGAACAACCCUACUUUGUCCGAUAUCACAUUCCUCAUUGAUACUCUAAGCGAGGAGUCGUACAAGGGCAGCACUUUGAUCAUGCAGCUCCUGAGAGACAACCUCACCCUCUGGACUUCUGAUCUUGCUGAAGAUGGAGGUCUGUCUGAAAGUCACACAACACACAUGAUGUCUCGAAAUGUUUGAGCUUAAGCCAUGGUUUUGUUAUGUUUUCACGAGAAGACAACAUCAAGACUGAUGAACCCAAGCAAGAACAGGCUAAGCCUGCCAAAGCCACAAAGGUAAUUCACCUUAAUAUGAAGUGUAUGAAUUGUCCUUGUUGGAUCAAAGCUCAAUGUUGUUUUGGUUGUUUGUCUGUUAAGAACUGAUCAAAGGGUUUAGAAGUUGAAUGAGAUUAGAUUCAAAAAACUAUAUUUGCAAAAAUAAGAGACUCAAAAUUAUAUCCUACC